rnacentral:rRNA from 1 species
AGAGUUUGAUCAUGGCUCAGGAUGAACGCUGGCGGCGUGCCUAAUACAUGCAAGUCGAGCGAACAGACGAGGAGCUUGCUCCUUUGACGUUAGCGGCGGACGGGUGAGUAACACGUGGGUAACCUACCUAUAAGACUGGGAUAACUUCGGGAAACCGGAGCUAAUACCGGAUAAUAUUUCGAACCGCAUGGUUCGAUAGUGAAAGAUGGCUUUGCUAUCACUUAUAGAUGGACCUGCGCCGUAUUAGCUAGUUGGUAAGGUAACGGCUUACCAAGGCAACGAUACGUAGCCGACCUGAGAGGGUGAUCGGCCACACUGGAACUGAGACAUGGUCCAGACUCCUACGGGAGGCAGCAGUAGGGAAUCUUCCGCAAUGGGCGAAAGCCUGACGGAGCAACGCCGCGUGAGUGAUGAAGGUCUUCGGAUCGUAAAACUCUGUUAUUAGGGAAGAACAAACGUGUAAGUAACUGUGCACGUCUUGACGGUACCUAAUCAGAAAGCCACGGCUAACUACGUGCCAGCAGCCGCGGUAAUACGUAGGUGGCAAGCGUUAUCCGGAAUUAUUGGGCGUAAAGCGCGCGUAGGCGGUUUUUUAAGUCUGAUGUGAAAGCCCACGGCUCAACCGUGGAGGGUCAUUGGAAACUGGAAAACUUGAGUGCAGAAGAGGAAAGUGGAAUUCCAUGUGUAGCGGUGAAAUGCGCAGAGAUAUGGGAGGAACACCAGUGGCG